AACCCUACGGACGCAGCAGUAGGGAAUUUUCGUCAAUGGGCGCAAGCCUGAACGAGCAAUGCCGCGUGAACGAGGAAGGUCUUCGGAUCGUAAAGUUCUGUUGAAGGGGAAAAAGAGCGGAGAGAGGAAAUGAACUCCGAUUGAUAUUACCCUUCGAGGAAGUCACGGCUAACUCCGUGCCGGCAGCCGCGGUAAUACGGAGGAUGCGAGCGUUAUCCGGAUUCAUUGGGUUUAAAGGGUGCGCAGGCGGGCCUUUAAGCCGGCGGUGAAAUCGCGGGG
rnacentral:rRNA from 1 species